AAAACCAAUCAGUAAAAAAGUGGGCGGUGCCUACUGCUGAGAGGAUUCAGUCUCUGUUCCCGCAGCCGUUCCGGCCCGGCAGCUCUCCUGCUCUCGGGCUGCGAGGGGGGAGCGGUGGCGUGGACUCAGAGCGCUCGGGGCUCUCCACCUGGUUCUGGCACAGGAGAGGCACCGGGUUCUGGAGAAAAGAACACGUGGUUGAGUUAGACCUGGUUGUUAUUCAGGUCUCUGUAUGGGGAACAGCCACAGAUCACAAGGGUGGAAUGAAGAUGGCUAAUUGGGAGUGUCGACUGAAAAAAUGCACCACCUAAAAGUUGGGAAUUAUGUUUUAUUCAGCGGACAUACUGAGGACUUAAGCCUGGAGACAGCCUCUCACGUAGCUCUGAGGGAUUUCUCCAAAGAGGUCUCACCAGCUCUGAGGCUGCCAAGUGGGGCUGCAGCAGGAUGCUGCCUUGUUGGGGUGCCGUGCGGCGUAGGAGCUGAGGAUGAGCUUGGUGUGCAGAGAGGCCCGGGCUGAACAGCCCGCCGUCACAGGCACACCACUUGAUCUCUCGGGGCCUCCAAUUUCCUCUUCGUAAAGAGGGUAACGAUUUACAGCACGGACGUUCCUGAGCGUUGGAGAUAUGGACGUAGACUCUGGGCACUUAAUAGGUGCUAAAAAUGGCAGCUUGUGAACUUGAGUGGCGGCCGGCACCUUCUCCAGGAACGCACUCCCUGCCCUGUCUGGGGGACGUCUCCCCUCAGUGGCCCCUGGGUGCCCUCAUCGCUACCCUCAAGCCCCUGUUGGGCAUCACUUACUUGCUGGCAUGCCCACCAGCUGGGAGAUGGUGCAUGGCAGGCAGGUGCAAGAUCGUCUGCCACAGUGCCAGACACCCGGUACGUGCUCAGAUGGACACAUGGGUCAGAUGUGACUCCUGACGUGGGGGCGGUGAGACCAGCGUAAAAUGGAUGAGAAGGUCGCCCUCAGGUCUUCUAAGAGAUGGUCAGUGAAUGAAGAAGUUGGGGGGAAAGCACUCCCUGAGUUUCUCUCAGGAGGACUUGAGUGCCAAGAUGCCAACCAGGCGACCAGAGCUCUGCCCCACCCAGUCAGAGCAGCGGGGCGCCCACUCCAUCGCGGGAAGGGAGCUAGAGAAGACGGAGCUGCCCCCGCGGCGCCCACGGGCUGCGUGAGGUGAGGCCUGACGGGACGAGCAUGUGGGUCUGCGCUGGCUCCAGGAGAGAGGAGCCUCGAGCUGGGGCUCUUUUCCAGAGCUUUCUGGAAAAGGGGACUGCACUCCCUUCCUGUGCAGAGCCUUCUGAGUCCACAGGAUAGAGGAGAGACCGUGGGGUGGAGGGCGGACACCGGCUGGGCUGCAGGGCUCUCGGGCCUCAGGUCACCGAGCAGGUUGACCUCUGGGGGAGCUGGGCGGGCUGAGCCGGCUGGGCCUCCUAGCAGGAGCACCGAGCUGGAUGAGGCCGCAGCCCCACCUUCUGCAUGGUGCCUUUGCCACGGUGCCCAGACGUUCCCGGGGCCAAGCAGGCUGUGGGGCUGGGACUCCGGAUGCAUUCUCGGGGCAGCUGGAGAGCCACACUCGGCUGGCCUCCCUGUGGAUGCUGCCCGGCCAUACAGCCCUCUCCGGCCAGCCGCCUGGUCCCGGGAGGAGAUGAGGGCAAAGCUCUAGCAGGCAGCUCAGAUACCCCUGUCCUGACCCCCAAAUGUGCUGGACCGUUCCCAGAACUCUCCACAGAGCGAAGGGGAGGCCUCGGUUAGCCAGGAAGGAAAUCGCCUUCCCUUCCUUCCUCCUGCUUUGAUUCACCUAAACAAAUACUUACCAUCACCUGCUCUGCGCUGGGCCCUGUGCUGCCCCGAGGGCUCCCGUGAUGGCAGAGUGCAGACGGGCGGGCAGGUCCUGCAGUGAAGCCCCCUCCUGGCUUGGUCUGAGCCCACUUUCUCCAGGAAACCUGCCCGUGCACCCGUGCGAGGUCGGUUGGUUUGAGAGCAGGAAGGCACCUCGGGCUGGGGUAGAAUCUCACUGCCGCCUCCCAGGGCCGGGGGGCAUAAGAGGCUUCUCUGGGGUCUGGUCUCUCGACCCUCACUGGCUUCAGUCCUUGGGUCCGAGGCGGGCGGAGGGAGCUGCGAGUCUGGUCAGCACCUUCUCUGAGCUCUCAGGCUGUGUGAUCCCUGUGGCCUCGCUGGCUGGCGCCCCGGGGCAUGGCCUGAGCUGCGUCCCUCCUCCUGGGCUAAUCGGGCCUGCCACCCGGAGGCCCAGCUCCCCUCAGACAGUGGCCAGGAUGUGGAUAGCGCUGGUACAGUUACCCACACGUAAUAGCAGGACAGUAGCAGUGGGCAUUAAUCACGACACAGGCGACAUCUGCCAGGAAUGGGCUGGACCCACGUGAGAUGGAAACUGAGCCUCCGAGUGGCGAAGUGACUUGCGCAUGGCUGCACAGCUGAUGGGGCAGGGCCUGGUGUGCUCACAGGUCUGCCAGCCUUAGGGCUUCCCACACUUUUCUCAGUCAGGGAGUGUGUCAGUUUCCUAGAGCUGCUGUAAUGCAGGGCUUGAAACAACAGAAGUUUAUUCCCUCCCAGCUCUGGGGGCCGCAAGUCCGAGAUCGAGAGUACCAGGGCUGUGCUUCCUCUGAGACUUUUCCAGCUUCCGGUGUGGCCGACGCUUGGUGCUCCUUGGCUUGCCCUGUGUCACCUCAGUCUCUGCCUCCGUCACCUCUCCCUCUGUGUCUCCAUCUUCACGUGGCAUCUCCUCUUCCUAGAAGGACAUCAGUCAUACUGGAUUAGGGCCCACCCCCAUGACCUCACCUGCAAAGACCCUCUUCCAAAUAAGGUCACAUUCGCAGGUACGAGGGGUUUUGGACAAGAACAUAUCUUUGGGGGGAAGGGGGACAACUCAACCCACAAUCGAAAAGAAACAGAUCAGGGGCAGAGCCUGAAGCCGUGAGUUCCCGGUUUGAAAUUUCUUUAGAGUCUCAAGUUUCAUCUUAAAAAUUCUUGCAUUUCAUACAUUAUUCUCUAUUUUAAAUUCAUGUUUGUUUUCAUAGGAAAUAUUAUUUCUCCAAAGCUCUGACACUUUGGUGAGGAGGAACAUGUAUAUCCUAUGGCUUCAUGAGCCUUCAGGACAUUUCUAAAUUUCCUCAAGGGAAUUUAUAUCCCAGUUGGAAAAGUAUCAACCAGCAGAAAUUCAUUUAAUUCCCUUAAAAACCCAGAGAGGCAGAUAUAUUUAAACAAAGAGGAAACUGAGGCUCCUAGAGGUUCAUGAUCUGCUAAAAUCACACCGUAAUGGAAUUCGGUUCUUCUGGCUCCUUGAUCGGCUCUUCUGCUGUAAGCGUGUGACCCGGGGGUGGGGGGCGGAAUAGGCGUGUGCCCUUCCCCACACGCCCACAUGUGCAGGGAGGGAUUUUUGUACCUGUUGUGAAGUUCAGUUACAUGAAUUCUGGGACAUAAACAUAGUUUGCUACAUAAAACCAUAAAUUUUUCAGUAAGAUAGAAAAGAAAAUCUACCCACACUGCAUUCAAAUGUUACAUUUGCAAAUACUCAUGUUAGAAACGCCCUUCAGUGUUUGCUUGUGAGAAGGCGGUGCUCUUCAUCAGCUCUGCUCGUUAUUUGGUGGUUAUUUAGGAGGUAGUUAGUGGACUCUGCAUGGAGAGAGUUGUUUCCAGCAGCUGCUGUGAGCGGCUCUGAGUGAAAGUACUCGUGUUAAGUGGGUGCCCACCCGGCUUCACCCAGCCCCGCCCGUUCACCCGGUCACCCACCCUCCCUCCACGCAGCAAACCUCUGCUGGGUAUCACUGGGUGACACACGCCUCUGCCCGCAAGGAGCUCGUGCGCUGGAGCACAGGGGCCCCUGACACGAGACUUCCUCGUACCCGGGAAGGAGCAAGGGGGAGCCUCGGGGACUGGGAGAACAGCCCCGUCUGCGUGCCAGGCAGGCCGAGUGUGCAUGUGCGUGUGCACGUGCAUGCGAGUAGGCAGGUGGCAGCCCCAGAGCUGCCCAUCGGCUCGGUCUCACCUGGCAUCCAUGGCCCCGCCCUGAAUCCACCUCCUCGCCUCCGGGGGUGGGUGAAGCCAGGACACCCGUUGCAGACGUGAGCACCUGCCCAAGCCAGCCCCGGACGCCAGGCUGGGACCCCUGACACCCCUGCCCUGCCCAGGCAUUGGGCAGCCUGGUCCUGGCCCCCCCUCCCCUGUUUGCUCCCAGAGGCCGUGGCCCUGGUCUGGGGCUGUGUGAGCAUCUCCUUGUUUUCACCCACAGAUCCCAAGGGUUCUCAGGAGGAUCUGCUGGAGGAAGGAGAUAAUUUAGGCGACACCCAUGCAGGGUGAGUCUGAGGUCUGCUUGGGAGGCUUUCGGGUCUUAGUCCUGCCACCCCGUUGGCUGAGGGAACACCAGCUACUACUUCUGAGUGUCAUGGCGCAGAGCGCCGUGCUGCCUCCCCAGGGACACUGUUGUAAUCCUCUCUACCGGGAUUGCUUGUUUCCCUCCCCAGAGAGGUUAGGUGACUUGCCCAGUGUCUUCCAGCCAGGAAGCGGUGGAGCAGUACUGCCUGCCGUACCCUGUGGCGUCUCGGUGUUUCCGGCCCCUUGGUCCUGGCCUGGGGGAGGAUCCCGGGACGCAGAGCAGACGUUUCUCAUGGAACCAGCCAGCGCUGCGUGUCAGUGAGAGAAACUGGAUGGGCCACAGUGCCCACAUCUCCCAGCUGCCUUGUCUGGGUGCCUGAAACUUCUCCACUUUAGCACCUUUCCUCUGUGUGGAGUUAACCGUGUCAGCAUCCUUGGGGAAGCAACCCUCGCCGCCACCAGCACCGGUACAAACAAAACCUGGCGUAGAUGUCCAGGCUGGUCCUGGGUGGGAACGGCAUCCCGGGUCCAGGGUCUCUCUGAGUCCUCAUCUCUAUUGUGAGUCUGAGGUUCCAGGGUAGGAAACUGAGGCCCAGAGGGGCUCCCAGAGUUGCCCCAGGUCACCCCACAAGUAAAGAAUUGAUGUUCAACUCUUUAACGUGCGGUGAUGACAAGGACAUUUGUAAGCGUCUGAAAUUGAUAUGCCCCUGGCACACCAGCGCCGAGGCUGAUCGUCUGGGAACAAAUGCUAGUGAGAUGCCACCUGCAGGCUGGUAGCAACUCUUUAUGGCAAGAGGAAUACAGCAGUAAUAAUACUCACUGCCGCCUUCAAGGGCCCUCUCGGCACAGUGGUGAUCCCAAGCGCUUAGCGCAUAGAGAUUAUGUUUGAUCUUCAAACAACCCUGCAGACAGGCAUUCUCAUUUCCCAGUUGAGGAUGUGAUGACGGCAGAGAAGUUAUUGAUCUGACCGAGACCAUCCAUUGGUGUGGGGAGGAUCUGGUCCUGACCCCAGAGCUUUUCAGUUGCACCCACUUGUUUUCUAGAAGUUUCGCUACAUGAUGAGGAACGUCCUUUGCAAACAUGACUAUUUGUAUCUGCCCUUAUACCAGAUGCUAGGCUGAACCAAGGGAAGAGGUUUUGUCCACACCAGGUGAGUGUGGGGUGCUGCAGGGGGCAGCAGUCGGGUGCCCGGCCGGGAACGGAUGUGGGUCCUCCCGCCUCCCGAUAUGGUCCUACCUCUCCCUCAGGCUUGCCACUCAGCAGGCCAGUCCUUCCACCAAAAACCCCGACGGGGGCUGCGCCAGGCUUUGUGAAUGAGGAGGGAGGGGGAUCGACAGAGUCUCGGGGGCAGAUGGACAAGGAGAGGCCCAGGCAGUGGGCCUCUGGGGUGGAGGGUGGCAGUGAGGAGGCAUGCCCUCUGGGUAAGGUGAGUGUACCUCAGGCCAGUCUGGGCAAUGCCCGGAGCCUGGGGGGCACUGGGGUCAAAGGCUCCCAGAGGAGCAGGGAAACUGAGGCCCCAAAUGUGUCUUCAAACUUCUGUGGGCCCAUCCGCUCAGCAGCUCCUCCUAGAACAGCUGCGUGCGCAAGCACGGUGGCCCCCGGGCUCUGUGAGCCUCUCGCGGGGGAGCCGGGCUGGGGUGAAGGGCACGGAGCAGGGUGUCCACUGGGGCUUUACAGGAGGCGGCACCAAGCUGCACGCACGGGGGGAGAGCAAAGAGAUGGUCUUGUGGAGAAGAGAAGCCGUAGAAAGAAGAGCUCCAGCACCGAAAGGGGUGGGGAGGGGCUGCAGCACUGGAGCAGGGCUGGCGCACAUCAUCGUGUUGCUGGGCUCCUAGCUGCAGUCAGAAGCAACCCAAGUUUUAAAGAGAGAGUGAACCUCUGAGAAGAGAAGGUGACGUGUGUAAAGAGAUAAGGACGCGGGGUCAGAGGCAGGACUGGCGUUGGGGCUUGGAGCCAAGGUUCUGACUCAAGCAGAGACAGGGCUUCAGUAAGAAGUCAGGGUGGAGGGCGGAGGCUCCAGGGGACUGCCAGGCCCGCUUGCGAAGUGGCUGUGCAGGCUGGACAGGGCAGGGCACACGUAAGCUGGGGCUUUGACUACAGCAGGGUGACCGGGCAGGGCUGGCCUCAGAGGGUCAGGAGGCCCGGAAGUAGAUGGUAAGCAGCAGAGCUCCAAGGGCCCCGGAGCGGAAGGCAGGGCGUCAGAGAAGACCGGAGAAAUGGGCUGGUGAGGCUGGUGGGCAUGGCAGGCAGCGUCCAGGCACCAGGGCAGGGCAAGUGGCACCUCCCACUGUGGUCCGGGCUGAGGGUGGGCCCCGGUCUGGACCAGAAGCUCUCUGUCCGUGGCCCCCGGGUCAGGAUGGGCCGCAGCACCAUGGCCUGGGGGGGAGGCUAGGCAAGGGCCCUGGGUUAGGGUGGAGAGGCUAGUGGGCCCAGAGUCACAGAAUGGAGAGAAAACGAGACAGACCCUCCAAGGGCUGGCGAGAGUAUCACUCUGGAGGAAGCCGCCCAGUAGCAAGUGGAUAAAAAACACAUUCCUGGAGGAGCCCAGAGACAAGGGGACUCGGGGGAGGCUCCCAGAGGAGGGCUGACUGAGUCAGAGAGCCAUUAAUCCUCAUCUCUGCGGGUGCCACGUGGGGAGGGGCAGCCUGUGGUGAAGGAGCCUUCAGCCAACGCCAUCGCAGGUGGGUCAGGGCGGGGCAGUGCCCAGCAGGCCCCUCCGUCCCAGAAGGGUUGCUGCAGGGCCUGGGCCUCCGAACCCUAAAGGAUUUAUUUACCCACCAGGCCUCUGGAUGUCAGCGUUGCAGGCUCGGAACUGGAUUUGCCAACUCGGCAAGAUGGAUCCAUCUCUGGAGGAAGGGCUCACGUUGACCAAGCUCACGUGACUGAUGGAUAAAAUGUCAAUUUAUCAAUAAUGAAUGUCAUACGGACCAACUUUUUUUUUUUGGCUGUGUUGGGUCUUCGUUGCUGCACACAGGCUUUUCUCUAGUUGCGGCGAAGGGGGGCUACUCUUCGUUGUGGUGC